UACGGAGGGAGCUAGCGUUGUUCGGAAUUACUGGGCGUAAAGCGCACGUAGGCGGCUUUGUAAGUUAGAGGUGAAAGCCCGGGGCUCAACUCCGGAACUGCCUUUAAGACUGCAUCGCUUGAAUCCAGGAGAGGUGAGUGGAAUUCCGAGUGUAGAGGUGAAAUUCGUAGAUAUUCGGAAGAACACCAGUGGCGAAGGCGACUUACUGGACGACUGUUGACACUGAGGUGCGAAAGCGUGGGGAGCAAACAGG
rnacentral:rRNA from 1 species